AGAGUUUGAUUAUGGCUCAGGAUGAACGCUAGCUACAGGCUUAACACAUGCAAGUCGAGGGGCAGCAUAGGGUUGCUUGCAAACUCUGAUGGCGACCGGCGCACGGGUGAGUAACGCGUAUCCAACCUGCCCAUGGCUAGGGAAUAGCCCGUUGAAAAGCGGAUUAAUGCCCUAUGGCGUCCUUUGAAGGCAUCUAACGAGGACUAAAGGUUUACCGGCCAUGGAUGGGGAUGCGUCCGAUUAGGUAGUUGGCGGGGUAACGGCCCACCAAGCCUUCGAUCGGUAGGGGUUCUGAGAGGAAGGUCCCCCACAUUGGAACUGAGACACGGUCCAAACCCCUACGGGAGGCAGCAGUGAGGAAUAUUGGUCAAUGGGCGGAAGCCUGAACCAGCCAAGUAGCGUGCAGGAUGAACCGGCCCUAUGGGUUGUAAACUGCUUUUAUGCGGGAAUAAAGAGGCUCACGUGUGGGCUGUUGCAUGUACCGCAUGAAUAAGGACCGGCUAAUUCCGUGCCAGCCGCAGC
rnacentral:rRNA from 1 species